GACCCAGUAGCGAAUGGUUCGCGCCUGCACCGUCUUCGACGGCACCCGUGUGUAGCAGCGGGAACUCCUGGUUCGAAUCCAGGCUGGGUCA